AGGUGCGCUUUGCUUCCUAACCCGUAGCCGGUUUGGAGAUUCCAUCUCCGAAGUUUUCUUUCUGACUUUUGAUUUUACAUUCCUAGUACAGUGGAGAAGCCUAGGCGGCCUAGAAUCCAGUGUCGUCCGUGAGUGCUUGGCAGGUGUUCAAGUGCAUCUUCCAGCCUGAGACCGCGUGGACUCGCUCAUCGUGAGGGCGAGAGGAGGAUAAGCCCAUUGGGCUGUCGGCUGAGAGUGAGGUGCGGGAUUGCUGAUGAAAUCCUUGGCAUCAUCGGAGAUCUCAUCGAAUGCCUCGUCGUCGAAGUCCCAGGUGGCUGACGUAACGUUGGCCAAGGUUUCGUUAUCGUUGUCUCCCAUGAAGGGGGAAAGGCCACUGACUCUGGAGAGACAAGAGCAGGAGAGCAGGUGUGGUUAGGAGAGGGCGCGACGACCAGAUGAGGGAAUUGAGGCACAGCCCAGGCUCAAGUAACCUGCCCAAAGAUUCGCAGCCAGUGAGAUUGGAACCCAGGUAUCUGCCUCUAGAGCCUGUCCUCUUAAAUGCUAUACUAUCCUAACAUUUCUGUGAAGAUGAAGUAAAUUGCAGUGUUCAGCACUGGCACCAGGCCUGGUCCACAGUAAGGAGGCAGUCCAUGCCUGGAGAUCUCAUGCAGUUCUGCUGGGUUUCCUCCACUGCCCCACCAAGCUGUGAGUGCAGGAAUGACUUUGUGACCAGCAGCUUAAGCCAAAUAAACUUUAUAAGGUAAAGAAUUUCAAAACAAAA
rnacentral:antisense_RNA from 1 species